UACGUAGGGGGCAAGCGUUGUCCGGAAUUAUUGGGCGUAAAGAGCUCGUAGGCGGCUUGUCGCGUCGGAUGUGAAAGCCCGGGGCUUAACUCCGGGUCUGCAUUCGAUACGGGCAGGCUAGAGUUCGGUAGGGGAGAUCGGAAUUCCUGGUGUAGCGGUGAAAUGACGCAGAUAUCAGGAGGAACACCGGUGGCGAAGGCGGAUCUCUGGGCCGAUACUGACGCUGAGGAGCGAAAGUGUGGGGAGCGAACAGG
rnacentral:rRNA from 1 species